rnacentral:rRNA from 1 species
AAUUUAUUUUUAACAAUUAUUAUUAUUAAAUUAUCAAAUUUUUUUUAAGAAAUACAAUUUAACCCUUUUAAAAAAUUAAAUUAUUAUAAUUAUGAUAAAAUAUAGUACUGUAAAGGAAAUUCUUUUAAAAAUUUCUAUAGAAAUUUUUAAAAGAAUUACCUUUUGUAUCAGGAGUAAACAAUUUAUAAUUUAAUUAAUUUUUUCUCUAAUAUAAUGUUGAGCUAAAUAAAUUUUUUAUAAAAUAUUAAUGUUUCAUUAUUAAUAAUUAAAUUUAUUUAGAUAUGAUAUGUUAUCCGAAACUUAAGAUUUAUAGUUCUCUAAAUAAUUUUUUAAAAGGGUUAAGCUUUUUAUAAUUUAAUUAUAACAUAAAUUUUAAUUUAAUAUGUAAAUUUGACAGUAUUAAUCAUUUUAAAUGUAUUUAUACUUACAAUAAAAUUUAAAAUGUUUAUAUAAAUAUGGGAAAAUUCUAAAUUAUUUUAAAUUUUAUAAAAUGUUUAUAUUAGUAUACUUAUAUUUAUUUAAUAUUCUUAAAAUAAUAAUAUUUAAAAAGGAACUCGGCAAAUAUAUUUUACGCCUGUUUAACAAAAACAUGGCUUAAAGAAUAAAAAAAUUUAUUUUAAGUCUAACCUGCUCAAUGAUUAAUUUUAAAUAGCCGCAGUAAAUUGACUGUGCUAAGGUAGCAUAAUAAUUAGUCUUUUAAUUGAAGACUGGAAUGAAAGGUUUAACGUAAAAUUUCUGUCUAUUUAAUUUUAGUUGAAUUUUAUUUUUUAUUUAAAAAGAUAAAUAAAUAUUAUUAAGGGACGAGAAGACCCUAUCAAGUUUUAUUUAAUUUUUUAUUAUUACAAUUUAAUAAAAAAUUAAAUUUGUUUGGGGCGGAAAAAAUAGAAUAUUUUUAUUUAAAUUUAAUAAUUAAUAAUUUAUUAAUGAUCUUAAUUUUAAAUUUUAUGAAUAAAUUACUGUAGGGAUAACAGAGUAAUUUCUUUUUAAAGUUCUAAUUAACAAAGAAGAUUUCUACCUCGAUGUUGGAUUAAAAUUUAAACUAUAAAAUGAAGAAGUUUUAAUAGUAAGUCUGUUCGACUUUUAAAAUUUUACAUGAUCUGAGUUCAGACCGGCGUGAGCCAGGUCAGUUUUUAUCUUUAAUAAUUUUUAAAAAAAUUUUUUUAGUACGAAAGGACCAAACUAUAUUAAUUUUU